UACGUAGGGUGCGAGCGUUAAUCGGAAUUACUGGGCGUAAAGGGCUCGUAGGCGGCCAACUAAGUCAGACGUGAAAUCCCUCGGCUUAACCGGGGAACUGCGUCUGAUACUGGAUGGCUUGAGUUUGGGAGAGGGAUGCGGAAUUCCGGGUGUAGCGGUGAAAUGCGUAGAUAUCCGGAGGAACACCGGUGGCGAAGGCGGCUUCCUGGACCGACACUGACGCUGAGGCGCGAAAGCUAGGGGAGCAAACGGG
rnacentral:rRNA from 1 species